rnacentral:rRNA from 1 species
GAUGAACGCUGGCGGCGUGCUUAACACAUGCAAGUCGAGCGAAGCAGUUAAGUUGAUUUCUUCGGAUUGAUUCUUGGCUGACUGAGCGGCGGACGGGUGAGUAACGCGUGGGUGACCUGCCCCAUACCGGGGGAUAACAGCUGGAAACGGCUGCUAAUACCGCAUAAGCGCACAGAGCUGCAUGGCUCAGUGUGAAAAACUCCGGUGGUAUGGGAUGGGCCCGCGUCUGAUUAGGCAGUUGGCGGGGUAACGGCCCACCAAACCGACGAUCAGUAGCCGGCCUGAGAGGGCGACCGGCCACAUUGGGACUGAGACACGGUCCAAACUCCUACGGGAGGCAGCAGUGGGGAAUAUUGCACAAUGGGGGAAACCCUGAUGCAGCGACGCCGCGUGAGUGAAGAAGUAUUUCGGUAUGUAAAGCUCUAUCAGCAGGGAAGAUAAUGA